UGCACAAAGAUUUUGUGUGUUUGUAUUAAGAGCGCAGGCGGUCCCGGUCCACGUCUCGUGAGAGAGAACGCAGGCGCCGAGAAAGGUCCAGGUCCCGGGAGAGAGAUCGUCGAAGGAGCCGCUCUCGAUCUCCGCACAGGAGACGCUCCAGAUCCCCAAGACGGCAUAGAUCCACAUCUCCUUCCCCUUCUCGACUAAAAGAAAGAAGAGAUGAGGAAAAGAAAGAAACAAAAGAAACAAAGAGCAAAGAACGUCAGAUUACUG